UGGGGAAUUUUCCGCAAUGGGCGAAAGCCUGACGGAGCAACGCCGCGUGAGGGAGGAAGGUCUUUGGAUUGUAAACCUCUUUUCUCUAGGAAGAUAAUGACGGUACUAGAGGAAUCAGCAUCGGCUAACUCC
rnacentral:rRNA from 1 species